rnacentral:rRNA from 1 species
CCCAGACUCCUACGGGAGGCAGCAGUGGGGAAUAUUGCACAAUGGGGGGAACCCUGAUGCAGCGACGCCGCGUGGGCGAGGAAGUAUUUCGGUAUGUAAAGCUCUAUCAGCAGGGAAGAAAAUGACGGUACCUGACUAAGAAGCCCCGGCUAACUACGUGCCAGCAGCCGCGGUAAUACGUAGGGGGCAAGCGUUAUCCGGAUUUACUGGGUGUAAAGGGCGCGUAGACGGCAGUGCAAGUCUGGAGUGAAAGGCGGGGGCACAACCCCCGGACUGCUCUGGAAACUGGACGGCUGGAGUGCAGGAGAGGUAAGUGGAAUUCCUAGUGUAGCGGUGAAAUGCGUAGAUAUUAGGAGGAACACCAGUGGCGAAGGCGGCUUACUGGACUGUAACUGACGUUGAGGCUCGAAAGCGUGGGGAGCAAACAGGAUUAGAUCCCCCAGUA